UUUCCCCCUAGUGGCCAGACGUGGCGUUGCCUGUCUGCGGCUGAGCUGUCUGGCCGCCAGUCCAAGUCUCUCUCUCUGUCUGGGUCUGAUGUCAUUUCUGGAAGAGGAGGUCCUUUGGGGUUCUCAUGGCGGCGAGGGGAGAGAAGAAGGUAAUGAACAGAAGAAGAAUAUUGUGGAGCCCUCUCUGCUGUCAUAAGAAAAAGUCAAGAUUGUUGUGGGGAAGAGGAAUCUCAAAAUUAAAGACAACUGAAAAGGCAAAAAGAAAACUGCUCUGAUUCUGAAGAAGAUUAUAUUUGUGAAUGCCUGACCCUGCAGAAAAACGACAAGAGGAAAAGAAGGAUUAACUGUUCUGUCUUAGGAAAAAACAUUCUGGUGUAAAUUUCACUUAAAGACAAAUUGCAGAGUCCACACAAAGGAAUAAAACAUAUUAUUGAAUGGAAGGUAUAAAGAGCUUCAGUGUGACUGGAAAACAAAUAAUCCACUCAGGGGAGAAACCCUAUAAAUGCCUGGAAUGUGGAAAGAGCUUCAGUUACAGAGCAUCUUUACAUAGACAUCAAACAAUUCACACGGGGGAGAAACCACAUAAAUGCAUAGAAUGUGGAAAGUCUUUCUCCAAUAGUCAGUAUUUACGUGUACACCAGAGAACGCACACAGGAGAAAAACCAUAUAAAUGCGUGGAAUGUGGAAAGAGCUUCUCUCAUAGUCAGACUUUACGUUUACAUCAGAGAACCCACUCAAGUGAGAAGCCAUAUAAAUGUACAGAAUGUGGAAAGAGCUACUCUUAUAGUCAUACCUUACGUUCUCAUCAAAGAUCCCAUACAGGGGAGAAACCAUACAAAUGUAUGGAAUGUGGGAAAGGCUUCCGGGAUAGUGGAACAUGCGCUAAACAUCAAAGAAUCCACACUGGGGAGAAGCCAUAUAAGUGCAUGGAAUGUGGGAAGAGUUUCCGUCAGAGUAUAGAUCUUCACGUACAUCAGAGAAUCCACACAGGGGAGAAGCCAUAUAAAUGCAUAGAGUGUGGAAAGAGCUUCAGUCGGAGUGGACCUCUACGUAUACAUCAAAGAAUCCACACAAGGGAGAAACCACAUGGAUGCACAGAGAGUGGAAAGAGCUGUGAAAAUGGACACCAUCAAACUCAAACAGGCGGGAAACCACAUAAAUGCAUGGAAUGUGGAAAGAGUUUCUCUCAUCGACAAGAGUUACAGUUUCAUAACAGAACUCACACAGGGGAAAAGCCAUACAAAUGCACGCAAUGUGGAAAGAGCUUUUCUCGUGGUGACAGUUUACGUUCGCAUCAACAAAUUCACUCAGGGGAGAAACCCUAUAAAUGCGUGACGUGUGGAAAUAGCUACUCUUAUAGUCAAACUUUACGUUCACAUCAAAGAUCCCACACAGGGGAGAAACCACAUAAAUGCAGUGAAUGUGGAAAGAGCUUCAGUGAGACUGGACAGCUGCGUUCCCAUCAAAGGACCCACACAGGAGAGAAGCCAUAUAAAUGCAUUGAAUGUGGAAAGGCCUUCCGCCAGCAUGGACAUCUUCAUGGACAUCGAAGAAUCCACACAGGGGAGAAACCGUAUAAAUGCAUAGAGUGUGGAAAGUGUUUCAGCGAGAGUGGAUCUCUACGUUCACAUCAAAGAACCCAACAUGGGGAGAAACCAUUUAAACCAGGGGUCCCCAAACUAAGGCCCGGGGGCCGGAUGCGGCCCUCCAAGGCCAUUGACCUGGCCCCCGCCCUCAGUUUUAGACUUAGGCUCGCCCAAAGUCUGAAAUGACUUGAAGGCACAACAACAACAAUCCUACUUGAUGAUCUCAUUGGCCAGAAGCAGGUCCACACUUCCCACUGAAAUCCUGAUAAGUUUACAGUAAAGAUUUCCCAUGAUUUCCAGUCAUGUCUGACUCUGGGGUUAGUGCUCAUCUCCAUUUCUAAGCCGAAGAGCCGGCGUUGUCCGUAGACACCUCCAAGGUCAUGUGGCGGCAUGACUGCAUGGAGCGCCGAUACCUUCCCGCUGGAGCAGUACCUAUUGAUCUACUCACAUCGGCAUGUUUUCGAACUGCUAGGUUGGCAGGAGCUGGAGCUAACAGCGGCCACUCACUUUUUCCUUUAUUAGUUUAUAUUUGAUAUUAGGGUUUUUUUGUCUUUUUCUUGCUGUAUUUCAUUUUAAUUUUGUUAUAUGUUUGCUUGUAUUAUUAUUAUUAUUUUAUUAUGACACAGCAAACAAAAUAGAUAUGCUGGAUUUUGUAACACAAAAUCACAAGUCAAACACUUCCCAAGUGUCUAGGACUGUGUGAUGUAUUUUUGGAUGAUGCGCGCAGAUCCCAGUAGGGUGGCCUUUUGCAGUUGGCAGAUUGUGAUUUUGUCAAUGUCUAUUGUUUCCAAAUGCCGGCUGAGAUCUUUUGGCACGGCACCCAAUGUGCCCAUCACCACCGGGACCACCUGUACUGGUUUCUGCCAGAAUCUUUAAAGUUCAAUCUUGAGGUCCUGAUAGCGGCUGAGUUUUUCCUGUUGUUUUUCGUCAAUGCGACUGUCACCUGGGAUGGCAACAUCAAUGAUCCAAACCUUUUUCUUUUCCACAACUGUGGUGUCUGGUGUGUUGUGUUCCAGAACUUUGUCAGUCUGGAUUCGGAAGUCCCACAGUAUCUUUGCGUGCUCAUUCUCCAAUACUUUUGCAGGUUUGUGAUCCCACCAGUUCUUUGCUGCUGGGAGGUGGUACUUGAGGCAUAAUUUCCAAUGAAUCCUUUGGGCCACAUGGUUGUGCCUCUGUUUGUAGUCUGUCUGUGCGAUUUUCUUACAGCAGCUGAGGAUAUGAUCAAUGGUUUCGUCAGCUUCCUUGCACAGUCUGCAUUUUGGGUCAUCAGCUGAUUUUUCGAUCUUGGCCUGAAUGGCCUUUGUCCUGAUGUCUUGCUCCUGGGCUGCAAGGAUCAGGCCUUCUGUCUCCUUCUUCAGGGUCCCAUUCGUGAGCCAGAGCCAGGUCUUCUAUUAUUAUUAUUAUUAUUAUUAUUAUUAUUAUUAUUAUUAUUUAUUGCCUUUGUUCUGAUGUCUUGCUCCUGGGCUGCAAGGAUCAGGCCUUCUGUCUCCUUCUUCAGGGUCCCAUUCGUGAGCCAGAGCCAGGUCUUCUAUUAUUAUUAUUAUUAUUAUUAUUAUUAUUAUUAUUAUUAUUAUUUAUUGCCUUUGUUCUGAUGUCUUGCUCCUGGGCUGCAAGAAUCAGGCCUUCUGUCUCCUUCUUCAGGGUCCCAUUCGUGAGCCAGAGCCAGGUCUUCUAUUAUUAUUAUUAUUAUUAUUAUUAUUAUUAUUAUUAUUAUUAUUAUUAUUAAUUGCCUUUGUCCUGAUGUCUUGCUCCUGGGCUGCAAGGAUCAGGCCUUCUGUCUCCUUCUUCAGGGCUCCAUUUGUGAGCCAGAGCCAGGUCUUCUCCUUAUCAGCUUUUCCUUGUUGUUGUUGUUGUUGUUGUUGUUGUUAUUAUUAUUAUUAUUAUUAUUAUUAUUAUUAUUAUUAUUUCACUACUAUGUGCAAAACAACCAAUAAAAAAUAUUUUUAAAAAAGAAAGAAUUCCAGAUAGUGAAUGCCCAGCUUGUACAGAAAGAGGUAAGUCAAAGAAGUAAGAGAUUGUGUGUAUUUCAAGCUGAAAAACUGCCUUGGAAUAUUUCCCACAUGACUAUGCAUCAACCUACUUUGCUCUUAAGGUAUGUAUGUACGUAGGGAAUUGUAGUUUAAAAGGCAAGGAACAUGCCUGCAAGAAUGCGGUUUUCCUGCUUUGGGCAGAAUGGGGUUGGACUGGAUGGCCCAUGAGGUUUCUUCCAACUCUAGGAUUCUAUGAUUCUAAGAGCCCCAGAUGGCGUAGUGGACUAAGUGACUGGAAGGUUGGGUUGCUGACCUGAAAGUUGCCAGGUUCGAAUCCCACCUGGGGAGAGUGCGGAUGAGCUCCCUCUAUCAGCUCCAGCUCCAUGCAGGGACAUGAGAGAAGCCUCCCACAAGGAUGGUAAAACAUCAAAAAAAAAAACAUCCGGGCGUCCCCUGGGCAACGUCCUUGCAGACGGCCAAUUCUCUCACUCCAGAAGCAACUUCGGUUGCUCCUGACACGAAAAAAAAAAAAUUCUAAGAGUUACAACAAAGUAGGAUAUUGUUUCAUGGAUGUAUCUUUACUCCCACUCUCAAUCAUAAGAUCCAUGUAGAAAUAAAGACAAAUUUAAGCAGUGCGAAACAACCCCAGAUGUGGAAAUAAAACAGUUUAAUGAGCCGAAAACAUAUUAAAGAAUUCAACAAAUUAAAAAUAGCUCAAACAAGCCAAAGCCCUGGGUUGUUGUAACUUGUCAGUUUUCCAAGCUGUAUGGCCAUGUUCCAGAAACAUUCUCUCCUGAUGUUUCACAGACAUCUAUGGCAGGCAUCCUCAGAGGAGGAAACCAUGAAAAUGAAUACAAUCUGGCUACCAGUAUUUAAAAAAAACUCUAAAAUCAGGGCAGUAAAUAAAGAACAACACUCAGAAAACAGGGGAAUUGCAGACAGGAAACAAUCAGGGCCAGCUAACACCUCCCAACAAAGGAUUCCCCCAGGCAGCAACCAGCCAGGCCUUGAAACUGCGAGGACAUUCAAUGCUAAUCAAGGUGGCCAAUUGCAACAUUCACACUUGCUUCAAGCAGACAAGAGUUCUUUCUCCCACCUUGGACCUUCCACAGAUAUAUAAACCUCACUUACUUAGUUCCUAACAGACCUCACAAC